rnacentral:lncRNA from 1 species
GGAGCAGCAGCAGCUCCGGAGCAGAGAAGCGCACACGUGUGUGCGUGCGUGUGUGUGUGUGUGUGAGCUUCUGGAGCUCCGCUCGGAGCGAACCUUCUGCUGCCAGCAGAUAACAUCACGAUCUUGCCGGGGAGGGGAGAUUUAUAAGUUCUCUCUGAACCACGUGUCUGCCUUCAACAAAGUGACGUGCUAGGAUUACAGUCAGAAGUCCUCUCGUUACUUAGACCACGAGCUCUCCCCGAACCGUUGAGGGAGUGUGGAAAUGAGGACCGCUGUGGGUAAGGGAGGAAGGAGGUGGAAUGUGCGCCCUGACAACAGUGAUUUACGGUAUUUACUUUCCAGUCAUUUUGGACAGGUCUGUUGAAGGAAGGACAAUCAAGUCUCCCGUUUUUACUUAGUGUAGCUCAGUCACAGCCUCCCAAGCUGAAUCACUUGCUCUAGAAGGGAAGGCUUCCCUCCUGUAUUAUGUGUGCACACGCACCCCUAUGGGAGGGAGCACUAGUCUACUCAGGGCCAGGCCAGUACUGAAGACAUACCUUCCAAUCUUUUAAAUUCAUGUCCUACCUCUUAUUUUCUGGGAUACCUUAGCAGGUUGCCAUCCCAGAAUUUAUUUUGUUAGUUUGUUGUUUACAAUGUACCCCUCUGUUUGUGAACUGCUGGAAAACAGAGAUCCAUCAAUUUUACCUAAAGAAUAAGGUAUACUUGUUUGUUUUACUGAUUUGAAUGAAUGGUCACCUUUAUAAUUUGCUGCCUAAGCCACUUCUUGUAUGGCUUUCUUCUUCACCUUCUUGCUAGGCUAAACAUUAUCAACCAACUUCAUUCUUUCCAUAGCAUUAAUCCAGGAAGCUGGAAUUUUAAGUGUUUGAUGUCUACUGUUCUACACUACUCAUAACUUGACAUUUUCAAUUUCAACUAAGUCUAAAUUAGAUGAAUACAAGAAUAACUCUUACCACUGUUCCACCUUCCCUUUUUCUUUUAUUUUACCUUUAGUUACUCAAAGUCAACAUUUUCAUUUCGGCAUGACUCUGCAGCCAUACUGACCAGACAGAUGAUUUAAACUGGAAACUCUGUUGAAUGUACUCCCAAACCCAAGAUCUCUAUACUGUUCUCUACUUCAGAUGUUCCUGAGUUCAGAAAAGUCACAAAGAACUUUCUAUCACUUUUGGAAUUUAUACUUCAGUUGUGUAUGGGGCCUAGGUUAUUAGUAGAGCACUGAAUAAAUAAAAUAAUAAUAGCU